AAGCUGCGAUACGUAAUGUGAAUUGCAGAAAUCAGUGAAUCAUCGAAUCUUUGAACGCAACUUGCGCUCUUGGGUAUUCCCAGGAGCAUGUCUGCUUGAGUGUCAUUACAACUCUCCUUUUUUUUUUCUUCUUUUCCUUCGGGAGAACGAAACCAAAAAAAAGGGCUCUGAGCCAAGACAGAUCUCGGCAUCUGUGUGGCUUUAAGAUUGUUGGUGAGGGAGCAAAGAGGGCAUACCUUUUUUUGUUUUCUUCCUAUUACCACCUGAUGUGGCAAAAAAAAAAACCUCUCUCUUCUUUACUGAAGGAGAAGCUUUUUAGCAUCUGGUGAGGGAAGAACGAAGAGGAUAGUCGUUUCUCUGUUCUAUUCCAAACUCACUUGUAGUGAAUCUUUUGUGUGUGUGUGCGUGUCUCACACUCACACACGAAAAAACACAACACCUCAACAUGUGACCUCAAGUCAGGCAAGACUACCCGCUGAACUUAAGC
rnacentral:misc_RNA from 1 species